UUUAUGUGGGAAUGCUAAACUCUCCUCCACUCAACACGGUUAUCAUUUCACACGUGCUUUUCAUCAUCUUCAUCAAUUAAUUCACACACAACAGUUUUAAAUAGUUAAAAUAGCUACUUUUAAAUAGUACUUAACAUGGAAUGCAAUGGCGUCAACAUGGCGCCGGAAAUUAUGAAGCGAGAAGAUUCCAGUGAUACCAACUUCAACGUAUACGUCGGAUCUGAAACAGGAUUUCUCAAAGGGAUUUGUUUCGGGUUGGAAACGCCCAUGAUGAAAGAACUCUCAGAUUAUGAUAAAUCAAAAAACCCGUUCCCAUCAAGACCUUGUCCUGGACAGAUCCCAACAACCGGAAAGACCUCCUUGUCGGCCUAAUUGAUCGCCCGUCAAAGUUUACAAUACAAAGUUGAGAGCAUUCACACAAGAGAAGAGGGUGCAACUCAGCGAUGAGGGUGAAAGCCAGUUGGUCUCGUUAUCUCAACUAGACGAUAAAUAUUUGGUGGGGCUUGAAAAUGGGAAAAUAUCUUACUGGAAUCCUGCAGACAGCAAAUCUACGAUUGAAUUGAAAGCUGGAAAUCAUUUAUCAUGUGUUAAAUCAUGUCCUCAAGACUCCUCACUCUUUGUAACGGGUGGCAAAGAAAAUGACGUAAAAAUAUGGAAACUGGACUCGGGAACGACCGAACCUAUUUGGAAAGCAAGAAAUGUGCCUCACGUUUUGGAGCUUCGUGUUCCAGUUUGGGUGCAGGACGCAGCAUUCCUCCACAAACGACAGACCUUGUCGCCAUCGCUUCCCGCUACGGACAACUGAGAUUGUACGACACCAAAAUGGACAAUAGAAAUCGACCCGUGAUUAACAUG